UGAACUUUUACCCAAGGUUCCAAGGCUAGGAGAUGAUGGAAGAAGAAUUUAGAUUUAGGUGGUGGGCUCUUUAGUUUUGUCUCUCCACCUACGCUCUCUAGCAAGACCAAACAUUGUCGUGUCUUCAUCCCAGUGCCCUGACAUCUUGAGAAGCCUUCUUCCUCAGUGGAUUGGAUGUUACUGUUCUUGACAACACCAGGAGGAGUUUCUCCAUGCAGUAGCUUGGUCUUCCUAUGCUCUCAAGCUCUUGAAGACGGACCCCCUUCUAAGACCAUAGCAACAGACUCUGAGCUGGUGGCUCCCUUCUAACUAAUUAGGGGGAGACUCUGAGCUUGUUGGAGGUGAAGCUGGUCAGAAAGACAUGCCUAGGGGAUUAAAAUCCAGAGGGCCACAGGCUUCCUUUGAAUUCACUUCAUUCUACUCUACUGGAGUCUUGGGACUACACCCAGUGAGCUAUAAGAAAGGAAUCUAUAAAUGGCACCUGACUUCAGCACUUUGACUUCCAGCCCCCCCUACACUGCCACUCCUACUACAAUGGAUCACAUUGCCAUCAAGUGGACUGCCUAAGGCUGACCUCUCCUCUGCCUUCUAACCUCAGAGGAAUGGAGUGUCUGGGAUUCAGAGUGGGAGCUCAUCUGACUGCACAAGCGUCUCCCAUCUGCUUGGAUCCUCCAUCUUGCAACCCAGGGAAGGGCUGAGGCUAUGGCUAUGGUAUCCCCAGCCUUUCUUUGCAGCUUGAGUCAUUGAUUGCCCUGUCCCUGAGCUGCUGUCCUCACCCAACUCUUGAUCUGCACUGUGACCUCUAUCACCUCCUUUUGCUGUAAGGCAGUUCUGUAACACCUUUCAGAGAACGGGGCUGCCAGAGAAUGGGCUAAGGGCCCAUCUGCUCAUAUCUGGGACAAGCACAACUCGGCUACCAGUUCUUCUUCCAAAGUUGCCACCUGUAAAGUUCUAACUGCCACCCAUCCUCAACUCCAUCAGAGAUCUGGUUCUCCCAAACCAUUCGGGCCUGUCUUCCGGCAGCCAUGCCUGGUUGGCCUUUCCCUGUCUUCAGGUUCUUCUCAUACUCCAGCUCCCUGCCACCACCUGGGGACCUUCCAUGUUCAUCCUCUAGAAAGGUUCUCUUCUGGCUCUGGGACUCCUGUGACUACAGAAGGUUCAGCAUUCAUGACUGAAUCCUGGCACUUCAAAUUCCUUCCUCAAGCCACUCCCAAAGCCUCCUGGCCCUUUGCUUAUGGUGACUUGAUUUGUUCAACAAGAUUUUGUUUUAUAUAUAUAUAUAUAAAUCAUCUAUUUCCUAUGGAGUGCUAUUCUUCUUUUCAUAAGGUUGGAAAUGAAGGCAUAAUCAUUGUAAGCAUAU